UACGGGGGGGGGCAAGCGUUGUUCGGAAUUACUGGGCGUAAAGGGCUCGUAGGCGGCCAACUAAGUCGGACGUGAAAUCCCCUCGGCUCAACCGGGGAACUGCGUCCGAUACUGGAUGGCUUGAGUUCGGGAGAGGGAUGCGGAAUUCCAGGUGUAGCGGUGAAAUGCGUAGAUAUCUGGAGGAACACCGGUGGCGAAGGCGGCAUCCUGGACCGACACUGACGCUGAGGAGCGAAAGCCAGGGGAGCAAACGGGG
rnacentral:rRNA from 1 species